rnacentral:rRNA from 1 species
GGUGGGGAAAACCGUUGGAAACGACGGCUAAUACCGAAUGUAGCGCCCGCUCGCAUGAGCGGAGCGCCAAAGGGGGCGAAAGCUCCCCCUCUCCGAGGGGCCCGCGCACCAUCAGCUUGUUGGCGGGGUAACGGCCCACCAAGGCUCACGGUUAGCUGGUCUGAGAGGAUGGCCAGCCGCACUGGGACUGAGAUACUGCCCAGACUCCUACGGGAGGCUGCAGUCGAGGAUCAUUUGCAAUGGGCGAAAGCCUGACAAUGCGACGCUUGCGUGGAGGAUGAAGGCCCUCGGGUUGUAAACUCCUGUCAUGGGGGAAAAGGAAAAGGGACCCAACACGUCCCCGAUUUGAUGGUACCCCAAGAGGAAGCGACGGCUAACUCUGUGCCAGCCGCGGC